rnacentral:rRNA from 1 species
GACGAACGCUGGCGGCGUGCUUAACACAUGCAAGUCGAACGGAAAGGCCCUGCUCUUGUUGGGUUCUCGAUUGGCGAACGGGUGAGUAACACGUGAGGAACCUCCCCUUGUCUUUGUGAUAACUUCAGGAAACUGCGGCGAAUAUCCGAUAGGAUCUCUUGCUGCACGGUGGGGGUUGGAAAGUGUCGGCGGUAGGGGAUGUACUCGCUGCUUAUCAGCCUGUUUGUGAGGUAGUUGCUUUCGAAGGCUUUGACGGGUAGCCGGCGUGGGAGGGUUAACGGCCACCAUGGGACUACGAUACGGCGCAGUAUCCUACGGGACGCAGCAGUGGGGAAUCUUACACAGUGGGCGGGAGCGUGAUACAGAAGCGUCGCGUGCGUGAUACCCUGUUACGGGUUAUAAACAGCUUUGGAAGGUGACGAACAGUGAGUGACGGUAAUGGGUCAAAAAGCAACGGCUAACUACGUG